UACGGAGGGAGCUAGCGUUGUUCGGAAUUACUGGGCGUAAAGCGCACGUAGGCGGCUUUGUAAGUUAGAGGUGAAAGCCCGGGGCUCAACUCCGGAACUGCCUUUAAGACUGCAUCGCUUGAACCCAGGAGAGGUGAGUGGAAUUCCGAGUGUAGAGGUGAAAUUCGUAGAUAUUCGGAAGAACACCAGUGGCGAAGGCGGCUCACUGGACUGGUAUUGACGCUGAGGUGCGAAAGCGUGGGGAGCAAACAGG
rnacentral:rRNA from 1 species